UACGUAGGCAGCGAGCGUUGUUCGGAGUUACUGGGCGUAAAGAGCGCGCAGGCGGUCGUUCAAGUCGAGUGUGAAAGCCCCCGGCUCAACUGGGGAGGGUCAUUCGAUACUGAUCGACUUGAAGGCAGGAGAGGGAAGCGGAAUUCCCGGUGUAGUGGUGAAAUGCGUAGAUAUCGGGAGGAACACCAGUGGCGAAGGCGGCUUCCUGGCCUGUUCUUGACGCUGAGGCGCGAAAGCUAGGGGAGCAAACGGG
rnacentral:rRNA from 1 species